rnacentral:rRNA from 1 species
AUGGCAAUUGGGGCCCCUCCCAAAGCAGCAGGAUGCCCCCAUGGGUGCCGUUGGGCGGACGUUGCGCAAACCUCCGCGGUCAUAAUCUCUGAGUUUUGUCUUUUGGCAACUGUGCACAUUGAGGAGACCGACAUAAACUUCAAGUUCACCACAACGUAUGAGCAAAUCUCUUCUGCAAGAAAAGAUAACUUUUUGGCCGAUCUCAUCGCGCAAAAGCCUUUUGAUGAGAUGAUAUGGGUUGCUAUGUGUAAUUUCAAACAAAUAUACCAUGCCCACUACAAAAGCAAGCGAAACAUGGAUAGGAGCCGGAUAAACUAUUUUCGGGCAGCCCUCCAAACUUGUGAAUUGAAGGAGAUUCAUCUCCACACCCGUCACUUCACUUGCUGCAAUGAUCGUGCAAACCCCACCCUGUCCAAGCUUGACUCCAUUUUCUGCAAUGCCAAAUGUGACAUUCAUUUCCACUCCCAUGUGCUCUAUUCACUUGUUCCCUCUCUGAUCAUUGUCCACUGA